GAUGAACGCUGGCGGCGUGCCUAAUACAUGCAAGUUGUGCGGUAACAGAGAGAGCUUGCUCUCUGCUGACGAGCGGCGGACGGCAGAGUAACGCGUAGGAACAUACCCCAAACUGAGGGAUAACUGCUCGAAAGAGUAGCUAAUACCGCAUGUGGUCUCGGAUUAAAAGCUUCGGCGGUUUGGGAGUGGCCUGUGUCCGAUUAGCUAGUUGGUGAGGUAAUUGCUCACCAAGGCGACGAUCGGUAGCUGGUCUGAGAGGAUGAUCAGCCUGACUGGAACUGAGAACGGGUCCAGACUCCUACGGGAGGGCAGCAGUAGGGAAUUUU
rnacentral:rRNA from 1 species